CUGAAACGCAGUGUGUGGUAUGGGACGCCACAACCCCAGCUGCCUCUGGAGUGACUCUGGUGAGUGCUGAACAGAGGUAGCUGAUAAGUUUGGGGUGUGGUUGUCAAUGCGUUUAUUUUACUACAUGAAGUAGAGUAAAAUUCCAGUUUGCCUUUUAGAGGUGCUUUAGGUGGCUAAAGAGAACAGGUGGAAGCAUCUGCCGUGUGGGGUAGGUAAGCAGCUGAGGUAAAGGAGCGGAUGAGAGUAACUGUCCUAAGGGUGCUGUGGCUUUUGCUGCUGUGGUUGCUUUCUCUUCUGUUUAUCAGGUGCCACAGGCAAGGUGAAGAGGUGCCUGAAGCCCCACCCCGUGUGGGCUGAGCACGCCUCGCUGAGGAUGAAGCCUGCUUUCCAGCAGUUCCCAAAGCUAUGCUGGGGCUGAAAUGCUGUGUCUGUAUUUGGGUUGGGGUUGUGCCUUGGUGAGUGUGGGGAUGGGUUUUAAGCCGGUGCAGCAGAGGGCUGAGAUCCAGUGUCCUGUAGUGUGUUUUGACCCAUCAGUAUAGCCUUCUCGUUUUCAGAUAGCCUACUCAGGUGCCUGAUUUUUCCUGCAAGUGAUGUUACUACAUUGAAUUGUUUUGUUUUUAUUUGGCGUGUAAUCUGUUAUGCUCCUAGAUUUUUCUUCCUAUGUAAAAGAAAGGUUUGAGGUAAUUCCAUCUGAAAAAGCUUCAGUUACUUGCUUGGUCAUAUUGUCCUUUGAAUAUUCAAAGCUGAAGCAAAAGCAUGGGGACUGUUGCUUCUCGAAACAGCCCAGUUCUCUUGUCUGCACUGUGCAUGACGUUGAGCUAAACCAGAUGAAAAUAAAAUAAUAAAAAGAAACACA